rnacentral:lncRNA from 1 species
AGGGCCGGGGCGGGCGGCGAGCCCUCCCCCUCCCGCCGGCUCGGCCGCGCUGCGGGCGCGGAGGCGCCGGCCAGGUUCAAGUUCGCCGGGCGGCGGGGGCGUUUCUGGUGUCGGUGUGCCUCCUAGCGACUGAACGGCACAGCCGUGCCGAGCCGUGCCGAGCCGUGCCCAGCCGCCCCGCUCCGCCGCUGCCCCCCCCCCGGCUUCCCCCUCCCCGCCCGCCCCCCUCCGGAGCCCCCCCCCGGGCCGCCCCGGCCGAGCUCCGCAGCCGGGCGGGGGCUCCGCGGCCGCGCGGGGAGCCGGGGGGCUCCGCGGAGCCGGGCUGCCAAAGGGGGGGGGGGGGGGCCGGGGGCGCCCCCGGGGGGGGGGGGGGCGGGGGGGCCCGGGGGGGCGGGGCGGCCAAGGGGGGGGGGGUCUCGCCGGUGGCACCCCCAGGGAGGGGAGCCGCGGGCAUCCCCGGGCGGGGAAGGGGGCCCCCGGUUCGGGGAAGGGGGCCCCGGCAGCCCGGUGGGGGUGCUGGAAGCGCAGCGCUGAGCGGCGCCGGGCAAAAGAUCCGGGGAGCGGAGGGGGAACGGGAAAAGGGGGCCGGGGGCUGCGGGCGAGCCCCGGCGGGGAGAGGGCAGCGUGGGGAGGGGGGAGCGGCCCCCGGGCGGCCCCAAGGAGCCGCGGCGCUUCGCUAAGGGGCUGCGUGUGCCGCGCUGGCCGCCAGCCUCGCCGCCGCCGCCUGGGAGGGAGGAAUCGCCGGGCAAAGUUUUGCAAAAGGCGAGAGCGAGCGGGGCUCGUUGGCAGCGAGCGAUCGCCCUGGGUUUUCUGCCAUCCCUGGGAGGGAACAAAACCCGCCAGGGAUAAUGGGAGAGAGAGAAGGGGAGAAAGGAAAGCGAGGAGGAAGGAGGGAAAAGGAGCCGCGAGAAGCAUGCAUCGCGUCCCCUUCCCCCCCAGCUCACCCCGAGGAAAAGGGGAUUUUUUUUUUUUCGCCCUUCCUUCCCCCCCCUCACCCCAAACCUUGCCAGCUCGAGUUGCCUUUUGUUGUGCAAAGAGCGCUCCCGCUUAUCUUGCAUCUAGCCCUGCCGUGUGUUGUGUCGGCUGCGGGGAGGGAGCCGAAGAGUUUUUGUUGCGAACAGUGUGGGGGGGCUCGGCUCGGGUUUUUUCUCUCCCGGGGAGAGGAGAUUUGGUUUGGGGUUUAAAUGCGGCGGCGAGCUGGGCGGCCGCGGGUGUGCGAGGAGUGUGCGAGCGGGUGUGCGAGCGUGAGUGUGCGUGUGUGUGUGUGUGUGUGUGUGUGUGUGUGUGUGAGUGUGUGUGUGUGCGUGUGUGAGUGUGUGUGUGCGCAGCCCGGGCUCGCUCCUGCCUGUGUUUGUUGGCAGGAGGUUCCCCGCACACGCGGUGCUUGUAAACAUUCAGACACGAGAUUUUUCCCAAUCAAAAUCCACUUCCACUUUUUUUUUGAAAAUCUUCCAAAAAAUAGUAAGCGAGCGAGGGAGCGCGAAGCCGAGGGCGAGGAGGGAAUCCCUGCCGGCUCGCCGCUGCCGCCCGCCCGCCCGGGGGC